UUUGCAGAGGAUGCUUUUGGCGCGGUGCCUUCCGAGUUCCCUGGAACGGGACGCCAUAGAGGGUGAGAGCCCCGUCUGGUCGGACACCAAGCCAGUGUAAAGCUCCUUCGACGAGUCGAGUAGUUUGGGAAUGCUGCUCUAAAUGGGAGGUAUAUGUCUUCUAAAGCUAAAUACCGGCCAGAGACCGAUAGCGCACAAGUAGAGUGAUCGAAAGAUGAAAAGCACUUUGAAAAGAGGGUUAAACAGUACGUGAAAUUGUUGAAAGGGAAGCGUUUAUGACCAGACUUGGGCCCGGUGAAUCAUCCAGCGUUCUCGCUGGUGCACUUUGCCGGGCUCAGGCCAGCAUCAGUUCGCCGCGGGGGAUAAAGGCUUCGGGAACGUGGCUCCCUCGGGAGUGUUAUAGCCCGUUGCGUAAUACCCUGUGGCGGACUGAGGUUCGCGCUCCGCAAGGAUGCUGGCGUAAUGGUCAUCAGCGACCCGUCUUGAAACACGGACCAAGGAGUCGUCUUCGUAUGCGAGUGUUCGGGUGUCAAACCCCUACGCGUAAUGAAAGUGAACGCANGUGAGAGCUUCNGCGCAUCAUCGACCGAUCCUGAUGUUCUCGGAUGGAUUUGAGUAAGAGCAUACGGGGCCNGACCCGAAAGAANGUGAACUAUGCCUGUAUAGGGUGAAGCC
rnacentral:rRNA from 1 species